UAUUGGUCAAUGGACGCAAGUCUGAACCAGCUAUGCCGCGUGAAGGAUUAAGGUCCUCUGGAUUGUAAACUUCUUUUAUCUGGGACGAAAAAAGGUCUUUCUAGAUCACUUGACGGUACCAGAUGAAUAAGCACCGGCUAACUCCGUGCCAGCAGCCGCGGUAAUACGGAGGGUGCAAGCGUUAUCCGGAUUCACUGGGUUUAAAGGGUGCGUAGGCGGGCAGGUAAGUCAGUGGUGAAAUCCUGGAGCUCAACUCCAGAACUGCCAUUGAUACUAUCUGUCUUGAAUAUUGUGGAGGUAAGCGGAAUAUGUCAUGUAGCGGUGAAAUGCUUAGAUAUGACAUAGAACACCCAUUGCGAAGGCAGCCUACUACGCAUAUAUUGACGCGAGGCACGAA
rnacentral:rRNA from 1 species